rnacentral:rRNA from 1 species
UCGGGAAUAUUGCGCAAUGGAGGAAACUCUGACGCAGUGACGCCGCGUAUAGGAAGAAGUUUUUCGGAAUGUAAACUAUUGUCGUUAGGGAAGAGAAAGGACAGUACCUAAGGAGGAAGCUCCGGCUAACUACGUGCCAGCAGCCGCGGUAAUACGUAGGGAGCGAGCGUUAUCCGGAAUUAUUGGGUGUAAAGGGUGCGUAGACGGGAGAACAAGUUAGUUGUGAAAUCCCUCGGCUUAACUGAGGAACUGCAACUAAAACUAUUUUU